rnacentral:lncRNA from 1 species
UUGAGAUUCACAGGCAGCUUAUCAAGAGCACGCAGCAAGAUCAAAAGAAAAUCGUCCACUGAUCUACCAUUGUCUUUGGGACUGCUCCCAUCCCCAAUUUUCCCUUUAUGAAUUUCCUGUAGCCACUCAUCAAAAACAGGUAAUCCCCUCAGCUGGACAAAACGACUGAGGCAAUCAAACUUGUCUGUUGCUGCUACAACACUUGCAAGAAUGGAUCGCCCAAUCAAAUCUGUUUUCUUCUCGUUCUUCUCGGGCAGCAUGAGCUGUACCAAUUUCUCAACCCCUUCAGAAUCCACUAGCCUCCCUCUCUCAGUAAUUUUUGCAAUCUCAGAUUUCAAACUGCUUUCUGUUCUUACAAAACCAGAACCACCAUCAUCAAUCCGACUUGGGCGUUCUCUUUUCACAGAUUCAGAACCCUGAUCACCACGCUCUCUCUUCCUUCCUUUACCCUGUGAAGAAGAAGAGCUGCUGUUCUGCAUACCUUCUGUUCCCGUUUUCGCUUGAGAUGUUGUCGGACUAUUCGUUGACUUAGGAGAACGACCACCCUGCUGUAAUGUCAUCUUGGAACGAGUCUUACGCAAUAAGUUAUCUACUUCUUGUUGACGUUCCUGCAUAAAGAAAAACAGUUGUCAAAACCAGAGAAGAAACAGAAUUGGAUAAUAAUGAUUAUGAUCUCACUCACUCACAUCGAUAUAAUCUUGAUCAGUGAGCCACCAAAUAGACUCGUUCAUAACAUCAUAAACCCUCCAGCAAACAAACGAAGAGAUUCCAGAUGGGAGUUCAACGCCUUUGGGAAGAAAGGUAACUUUACACGGAUGAAGCAAAGACGCAGCAGGUAUCUCAUCCUCGUGAAAGGAAUAAAAUAUCUCGUUAGGCUGAGCCUCCAAAAGGACGCCCUUGCCAAGCUUCAACUCACCGGGUCGGUAGAGCCAAUUCACACGCAGCUUAAAGUUGCCUUCUUUUUCAGGAAGAAGCAAACGGAUCAAACCAAUGAACGGUGGACAAUCCUGAGGCGGCUUAAACAGAGCACAGUCACCAACACUAAUCCUCCUCCCGUCCUGCAAAAAAAGAUCAAAACUUUUAAAUCCAAUUGAACCAAUCUCGACUUUAAAACCCAAUUGAAUGAAUAUUUGACAAAUCAAGCACUAAUCGUUACCUUAGAGAAGGAAGAAGGUGAAGAGAGAGAUACAGACGAAGAACCAGAAGCCUCCAAGCUUGAAAUUAGACGCGAAGGAGGUCUAAACAUAAGCCGACGAUGACCUUUCUUCCUAUCCUCAGAAAGCCCCCUCCCAUGCAUAGACGACGUCUCUCAUUUUUUUUUUUACCCCUUUUCAAAAUACACAAUUCGAUUCGAUUGAAAACCCUAAUUAAGCGAAGAAGAAGAAGAAGGAGAUACGAUUACGAUUCCAGUACCUGAUCCGCGAAUAUCUAACCACGAGAAGAACGAUUAAUCCGUAGAGAGCCGGAGACCGAAGAACGCGAAUCGAAAGCCGCCUUUGAUUUUUUUUUUCUUUUCGAUCCAGCGAGCGAGAGAAAGAGAGAGAGAGAGAGUUUUUUUUUUUUUUAUCAACAAGAAGAAAAAAAAUAGAAUCGAGAGAGAAAGGGGAUUACUACUUUGGAAGAAGUCGGGCAGUUCGGGCAUGAGUUUCGGGCAGCGUUUUGUUUAUUUUUUUACUUUUUUCAGGUGACAUUUGAGAGAUUUUGGAUGGUUUUUUCACCCUUUUUAAUAGCUCUUUUGACUUUCUUUUCUUUUCUUAAAUUAAAAACAUAACAAAAUCCGUGAUUUGUUAAAAUUUUAUUUAGAUUUAAACAAAAAAAAAAAUCUAAAGUUUUAUGAGAACAAAGAUAAGAUCAUUCCAAUCCUCUUUUUUUUAGAAAUAGAAAAUUUAUAAAAUAAAUCUGAGUUUCUUUCAAAUAUUUUUUAAAUAGAUAAAUAUUACCCAUUUUCUUUUGGCGAACUCCAAAAACAGCGGCUGCUACAGAAAAUUUGAACUAUCACCACGGCAAAACACAUCAUAGCAUAGCACUCAUGAAACAACGCCAACCUGCUUUUCUUGACGUUGCGGCUGAUUGCGAGGGGGUGAAAGGAACGCUGAUUUUUUUCAGCGUCAACUGCUUUCCUUAUUUUGUAUUUCGAGCGGUUUACGAGUAACCAUUUUAAUUCUUCGUGCGGUCAAAUUUGCUUCCGUUGUACCUGUAAUUUUUUGUCGCAACGGUGGUUUUGAUGUUCACCAAAAGAACGAGGGUAUUAUAUUAUCCACCAUUUAUAGAAAAAAUAAUAAUAUUUUAUAUAAACAGAGAGAAAUAUAACAUUUCUAUAUUUCAGUGGAACAUAUUAAAAAAAAAUGUGAGUUUCACUCCAAUGUUUUGUUUGAAAUAGAUAAAUUUUAUACUAUCCAACAUUUAUAGAAGAAAAUAUAGUAUUUCUCUGUAAAUCAAGAGAAAUGUAACAUUCUUAUUAUGCAUAUGAAUAUUCCUAUGUUUUAGCGGACAAAAAUAGAAGAGAAUUGGUUUUUUUGUUAGUAAAUAUGUAUAUUUUUAUAGCAAUUUAUUUUUUUUAAAUAAUACUAAUUAAUAAAGUGUAUGUUAAAGUUUGCAAAAACCGAUCAAUUUAUAUAAUAAUACAAUUGUGAGUUGUUCCGGUUAUUCUGGCCGAUUCCGGUUCGAAUGCCCUGACCUACCCCCGACAAUAAAUAAUUUUAUUAUGUUAGUAAUGUGAAUGCUUGUCGUUACAUUGUCCAGUGUCAAAUCACUAUCAACAAAGUACAAGUGACCAAUCAUUUGUCUCUCUUGACACAAACAUUUAACUUUUCACAAUGAGAUCUUAAUACACUACAGAAGCCAUUUGAGCGAGUCGAUUGUCUUCUUCACCCACCGAUUGCUCCUAGACAUGUUCUUCACGGAGCACAGAAUAUGCAAGUAGCAAUCAAGGUUUCCUAAUUUUGAACCGAAGAGACGAGAAGAAGAAAAGAGAUCAGAAAAUGAAGCAUAUAUAGUCGCCUAAACACAUGCCUUCAUCGAAAUUUAAUGUUUUGUAUCUUUAAUGAAACUCAUCGAACUCAUGACUAAAUUGGCUCUUGUGCCACAUCGUUGCUUACAAGCGUUGUAACAUCAUGCAAGAGUAGCCAUUAUGCACUGCUUUUGGGAGUUACGCAACUGCCGAAUACCUCAACCAGACUUGAGCUGACAGCAUCAUGAUGAACCAGAGGCACAAUCAUCAGAACACAACACACGUAUUCUUCAAUUCUUAAGCCACAAGUGUAUUUAUUGCCAUUGAGAGUGUUCUGCAUGUUUUGUUCUAUGCCUUAAACCAAAAUGUAAUGAGGUAUACGAGUAUUCGAUUAGCUUGCUAAUCAUUGUGAUUUUGAGUUACAUAAUCAUAUGAUCUGGAAGUUGUAAACUACUUUUUCUCCAUUUUAAGAGUCUUUGAACUAAUUCUUGACGUUUCUUGUUUUCAACGAAUUUAUAUUUGGGGUUGAUAAACUAGUAUUAAUGGGCCGGAUAGCCGGAUCUUACGAAAUUUGAAUGGCCCAGAUAGACCAGUCUUACCAAACAUGGCCUGCUCCGGCUCAAAACAAAAGUACCUUUCUCUGUUUUUCUUGUUUUCUAUAUCAAAAGCACCUUUCGGUUAGACAGGUUAAAGAUAUGUACUUUUAUUACUCAGACCGACGUUUCCUUAGCUUAAAAAGAAAAUAGUUAGCUUUUUUGUAACCAUAGAAGGUCAAAAGAUAUAGCUAUACAUCACGUCAUAAAUUACAUGAUUACAAUACAACUUUUUUUAUUUGGUAUGGGGAAGAGAACAGAGAAAGACUGGAGCAGGCUGGCUCGUACCUCUAAACCAACCAUGAGCCAGCGUCUGUCGACAUCCUAAUUAGAAUUAUCAAAACUAUAGUACUAUACAUUAAGAACUGUACAUUUGUGUAAAACACUUAGCAGCAUAUUUACCGGAUUAAUUAUCACAAACGACUAUAGAAAACCAUAUUUACAACAAACAUCUACCAGUAAAACUAAAAAAAACAUCAACAAUGGGACCCAUGUUUACAACAAACAUACCAGUAAGACUAAAAAAAACAUCAACAAUGGUAUAGUGUUGAUGGUUCUAUAAUCUGUCAAAACUAGGAUUAAAUAUUCAAAAUUGAUAAAACUUCUAAAUCCAAAUAAACUAAUUCGACAAACCGUAUAAUCUUAUAUGAUAAAUCUGUGUAAAUUUUUCAUACUAUAAAAGUAUAAAACAUGGACUCUCAAUUUUUUGUUUAGUAUAAUAUUUUAGUUAGUUUACUUAUAUAUAUAUAUAUAAAAAUUAACAUAUAAAAUGAUAACGUUUACAUUUUUCAGUAUCGCUUCUUUUUUUCACAAACAUUUUACAGUAUUGCUAGUUUAAAAUUUGACUGCGAUGCUGAAAUGAAAAUGUUUAUUAGUAUCAGUUACCACUUCGUUUUAGGCAUUAUUUGGAUGAUAUUGUAAAUCUAAAAAUAUUAUGGGGUAAAAAGCAGAGGCACAUGAGAGUUAGGGGUAUUGUGUAGUUUCCAAAAAGCAAGCUUCUCUCGUCCUCCCAUGUGCUUCCUCUCCCACUGUCCCCCCUUUUUCCUUUUUCGAUUAAAUCCAAAUUAGUUAAUUUCUAUUUCAUCCUUUUCUUUUGUCGGCUUUUAAUUUCUUAUCACACUUGUUGUUUUAUAUUCUUUUUCUUUUGUCAAAAGUUUUUUUUUUCUAUUCUCUAUCACGCUUUCUACACCUAUUUUGACUGGGUUCACAUUCACAAUAAUAAUAAUAAUAAUAAUAAUAAUAAUAAUAGAAACUCAGAAUGUUUGCAUCAGUUUCAACAGUGACAACUUGUGAGUGUCCAAUCUCAAUGAUUAUGUGGUCAUGCUCCAUAAUAUUAUUAUGAAAAGUCCCUCUCAUUGGCUUAAAUGCUUUCUUUGUUUUAAGUACUGCUAAAUUACUUAAUUCACUAAUUAGUGAUUUAAUUACUAUACUUGUAUAAUGUUUCAAGCCAGAUUCUCAAUCACGUGCAAAAUUCCUUACAAAACAAUAUAGCUGCUUAGCCAUCAACUAAUUACGGAGUUUACAUAUCCAUAUACCUGUCGGAUAUUCAAAUUAGUUAGUACAUUCUUGACCAAAUUUUAAAAAAAUUAAUUAGUACAUUUAUAUGACUGACGUAAAUGAAUGCAUAUCUCAUUUCAAGAUUUCAGUGUUGUGUUUGCCUUAAAGGCUCGCGUGGAUAAAAGAAAAUUUCAUGAGAUUUUGAAUGUACAAACAUGUAACUGUUACGAUACAACACUUAUUAAUUUCAUUGUCCAUGCAUACGUAAAACGUGACUAGUUUUAUGUUUACUGUUUAUUUGCGUGGUUUUCGUUCAUACAUUGCAAAUUGUCGGCAAGAUAUAUCAAGUUGGGUCACUACAGACUACAGUUGUGAUAGUUAUUACCAUAAAUUAAUUUGAAAACGAUGCAUCAAUUGUUUUGACAAAACGUUGAGUUAAUGCUUAAUUAGUAGAACAAACAACAAUAGUUGUAGUGAAGAAAAUAUAAAUAACACGCAUCUCUUAUGAAUAGUAGUAACAUAUUGAUCUUAAUAAAGUUGUACUUGUUGAGAUAUUUACUUAACUAAUUAACCGGUUUAUCUCAGUUGACUAAUUAACCUUAACACACUUCUUAUUGUUGUUUGAGUUUGUUAAAGACACACAAGAUUUGGUUACCCAGUUCCCUUUUGGUACAUCUGGAGAGAGGACGACACUCUCAACGAUUCACUAGCAUCAAGUGUAUACAAUAGCUUUCUACACAACCACCUCAGUGUUUCUCUAUCAAUAUCACCUUUGGUUUAUCUUCCACCUGAGCACCACCAACAGCACCCAAGUGUGAAUCUUCAGCAGUCAAAGAAUCCUCAUUUUGACUUUUGCCAACGGUUUUACAUUUACGUAAGGCAGAGUUUCCUGUCCUCAUCACUGUAUCUGCCACUCCAUCUGUCUCUGAUAUCUCUUCAGUCUUUACGUCAGCAACUACCCGACUAUCACCAUCAUCAGAAAUGUUUCCCCUAAUGCCUGAUGUGUGCCCAGCGGUUGGGGCAAUAUCAUCUGAAUUUUCAUUGCUUUCUAGGCACUGAUCCACCAAUCUUUGCAACUCUUCCAUUUCUGAAUCAGAGGGCUUAGAAUCAUUCACAUUCACUACAGAGGCCAACUGGUCGCCAAUACUACUGACAUGUUCAACAAUGGUGGGAUCCUUGGCAAGAGCUUCAGCUUGCUCGUUAGGCAAACCUGUUAUAUGGUUCUCUGAAAUAUCAUUCAUCAAGGAAUCUGAAACCAGGGAUACCGCGGGUGAUGCAACAGGGGAUUUGGAAAUUUCAUCAGCAGCAGCAGAAGCUAGAAGAUUCAUUCCAACGUCAUCCACACCAGCCUCACAUGCAUUUGCCUCAGAGUCCCUGACACAACUUUCAAUCAAGGCAUUCAUUGAGCUGUGUGAUCCACUAUCCCCUUUUCCAGGUUUGACAACAUCUCCUAAGGUAGGAGACGUGGGUUUGAUAAUAUCUUCUAUUUUACUAGACCCAUCAACGCUAAAAUUAGGUCGAUUUGUAUCAUUGUUCUCUGAAGGAACAGGUGAUGGAGCCCUGCUACUACCAGCUGCAUGAUCCUCAAAGGAACCUCCACUAAAACUCUGUGCCGGACUGCGACCACGUUUUGGCAGCUUAACAAUUAACUUGUUACUGCAACCUUCAGCCAUAGGUAUGUCAGGAGUCUUUUCAGUUGCUGUUCUUUGUGAUGAGAAGCUCCUGCUCAGCCCAACUUCCCUAUGGACUGCACCAGUAUCUCUUUGUUGCCCAUCAUUAACGACAGCUACACCUGUUCCAAGUGAUGGUGCUGAUCUAGUAGAACUUGGAGAUGUGGUUGCAGACUUCAUGUUGUUAUCUGACGGUAUUAUGACAGACACGGACUUAGAAGGAUGUUGAUGAGAUGCUGAUGUCCUGGCUGCAUCAGCAGAUACACCUGAAUGUCUACCGCCAUGAGAAACUUCAGACUGACGAUAUCUUCCAGGCCAAGAUGCACCCUGAUUAGAUCCCGACUUGGCAUCCAUUUCUGCCUCAACACGUUUCUUCCAUGUAUCAACCAAGCUCCUUGCCUUUUUCCCGAUUUCCGAGUUCUUAUGUGAUCGCAAAUGGUUAACAGACUUUCCAAUGUUGCAAGUCUGAAGAGCAUUGAGAUUCACAGGCAGCUUGUCAAGAGCACGCAGCAAGAUCAAAAGAAAAUCGUCCACUGAUCUACCAUUGUCUUUGGGACUGCUCCCAUCCCCAAUUUUCCCUUUAUGAAUUUCCUGUAGCCACUCAUCAAAAACAGGUAAUCCCCUCAGCUGGACAAAACGACUGAGGCAAUCAAACUUGUCUGUUGCUGCUACAACACUUGCAAGAAUGGAUCGCCCAAUCAAAUCUGUUUUCUUCUCGUUCUUCUCGGGCAGCAUGAGCUGUACCAAU